AUGGCAGAUCUCUCGGGUACUACUCGUAGCUGUUGCGACCCGCCGGCUGAUUCCACGGUUGAGGCCGUUGAAGAAGCAGUGGCUCCGACUGAGCACCACUCCAAGUUGAAGAAAGCGGCUGAUUUCUCCGUUGAGAUAGCAGAUGUGUGUGAUACCCCCAGCCAGCAAGUUGAUUCCACAGUCCAGACGACCAUGGAUUCUGCAGAAGCAGCACCUGCUCCGGUUGAGGAGUGCUUGAAGAAAGCAGCUCAGGAGUUCAAGUGUGCUUCCUCCUCUGAGAUCACAGAUGGGCAUGAAAUCCAUGGAUGUAGCCGCGAGCAAGUUGAUGAGGGCAUGGACUUUGCAGAAACAGCGCUACUGGCUUCGGCUCCGGUUGAUAAUGACUACUUGGAAAAAACAGCACAAGAGUUCAAGGUUGAUUUCAACAAGAGAGAAGAGAAGAUGCAUAGGUUCCCUGCAAGCCUGCGCGGUCUCGGCAGCCCGUACAUUGUGCCCAGGGUCGUGGCCAUCGGCCCUUACCACCAUGGCUCACCCCACCUCCAGCAGAUGGAGAAAGCGAAGGGCAUGGCUGCCUACCACUUCAUCAGCGGGUCGCGCGGCCACUCGCUUGAAGAGAUCUAUGGGGCUGUCGUCAAGGUUGCAGACAAGGCCCGCUGCCUCUAUGCCGAAGACGCGGUGGCAGGUAUCAGCCAUGCUGACUUUGCGGCUAUCAUGUUCUAUGAUGCAUGCUUCUUGCUCGAGUUUAUGCUUGGUAACAAGGACCUGCUUGACUGCCCAGAAUUGCGAUAUGUUUUUCACUCCAACGAAAAAUUUAUCAUUAAUGAUGUAAUCUUGCUGGAGAACCAGCUCCCAUGGAUGGUUGUGGAAGCCCUCCUUAAUUUUAGGUUUGUGCCAGUGAAGAGGAAACUUUUGAAUUUCGGAGAAAAUCUCACAAACCGUGUGUAUCAUAUCAAACAAGGUGAAAUCCUUUCAGACUUGGAGGAAGAGUACACACCGCCUCAUCUCCUUGGUCUUCUUCGAUUCUACAAAACAAACAAGGAAAGGGCCACCAAAAUCAAGAUGGCCAACAAAAAGGCCAAAAGAGCCAGCAAGAUAGCAUUUCCAGCAUCUCUUCUAAAGGAGGUAUUUACAAUAUUGAAAGAGUUGAACACCCGAAUGAUGGCAGAGUCUAACAACCUCGAGGAUGUUCAUAUAGAAAGCCAUGUACCAUUAACCAAAAAGAAGUCCAGGAAAAAACUCAAUUCAGUGUCGACAUCUACAAAUGUCAUCGAGCUUGCAGAAAUUGGCAUCAAGCUCAAAGCCAUCAGGACAGGAAUUUUCACAGAAAUUGGCAUCAGGAAAGGACCCCUGUUUGGCGAGCUUUUCCUGACGCCACUGAUGUUAAGCAGUGCAAGGGCGAGUUGGCUUGUAAAUAUGGCUGCUCUUGAGGUAUGCACGAGCUCAGGGGGUCAACGUCGUUAUCAACAUUGUGAUGAAGAGAUGGCCAUCUGCUCGUACAUUGCUCUGCUUUCGAUGCUCAUGGACCGGGAAGAGGACGUGCACGAGCUACGAAGGAAGCAUAUUGUGCAAGGAGAACUCACAAACAAAGAGGUGCUCCAGCUCUUCAAGAGCCUUACGAAGCACCUGACGUCCAGCCGCUCAUACCGCCGCAUCUUGAGAGACAUUGAGAGCUACAAGGUCAACAGGUGGCUGUGGAUCAAGGUGCACAAGUUCAUCUACAACAACUUUAGAACCAUUGUCACAGUAUUCUCUGUGGUCGGUGUUCUAGUGGGUAUUUUCAAGACGCUCCUCUCUCUUAAGCAACACCAGUAA
rnacentral:rRNA from 1 species